GCUAAGGGAGGAGCUCCUUCGGAGAUAGGUGCUUUCAAACCCCGCUCCCAUUUUAAGCAAGGAUUCUUUUUUCCUGGUUGAAAUGGGUUGCCACAUUUAUAUUGACUCUUUUAUUGCUGUAAAAUGUACCAUUUUGACCACUUUUAAGCGUGCAGUUCUGUGGCAUUAAGUAUCUUUAUAUCGCUGGGCGACCAUCCCCACCCUCCACCUCCGGAACGUUUUCAUUUUCUUAAACUGGAACUGUAUUCCUUACACAGUAACUCCCAAUUGCCCCCUUCCCUUCGUAAAAAUUUAUUUUUAGUUUUAAAAUGAUUCAGGUGUCAGUGAAGAUAGGAGUAUGUGAUAUAAAUUCUCCCACUCUGGGGGCUGCCCCCCCCCAGUUCCGUUCCUGAAAGUAUCAGCAAAUAGCUUUCUUCCCCUUCGGUGUUUCUUGGAGAUCAUCCCCGACGAUCUAGACUUGCCGUAACUUGUCCACCGUGUCCCCUGUUGGUUGGCAGUCGGGUUGUUACCAAUGUUUGGACACAAGCUGCUUUUUUGUGCAAGUGUGAGGUCUUCUGUGGGAGGAAUCCCUGGAAUUGGCAUUGCUGGGCCCAGCAGGAUGUGCCUGAAGUAACGUUGAUAGCUCUUGGCAAGCUCCCUCCGGAAGCUCCAUUGAUCAUUGAAGCCCAGCCACAAAAGUAAGGGAGCCCGAACCUUCCCCGGCACGGCGGCUCCCCCUCUGCCUGACGCGUGAAAAAUGGUAUCUCACUGCCGUUUACAGCUGUGUUUCUGCUGGUGGUUAUUUUAAGGUUUUCUUGGAAUCGCUUUUCGGUUUCAUGCAAAGCCACUGAAACCUUUUUGAAGAGUUGCUGGUGGAUUCCUCUGGACAGCGGUCGCGGUGUGUUCUCUGAGCCACAGAAGAAGGGUCACCCGUGAACCUCAGUGAUUUAUGCUGUGCCGUGGUAGUGAUGUGAGGGACGGCACAGACGUUCAUGACACAUCUGUUUUGCGCCAGGUGAGGAAACAACAGGAAGACACCACCCGGGAACCUGGAAGGGGCUCUCACCAGACACUGAAUCUGCCAGCACCUUGACCUUGGACUUCCAGCCUCCAGAACUGUGAGAGCUCAGUGGUAGUUGUUUAAGCUGCCAGCCUGUGGUGGUGUUUGGGAUAGCAUCUUGAACAGACGUAGACAGUACUACAUGGACGUGAUUUAGAGAGUGAAUUACCAGAUCCCCUUCUAUACCCCCCGCCCAGGUUCCAGCUCACCAAAGGCGGCCACUUUUAAAUCUCUUAUAUUUCUCCGUGUUUCUAAAUAAUCUGCUUCUUUUCCCUCUUUCUUUCUCUCUUUCCUUUAUUUCCGUUUUCGAUGGUGUCUGUUGAUUACCACUAAGUAGGAAUGAGGAAUUCUCUUCCUUCCUCCCCCAUACAGUUAAAUGUUCUCAGUGUUAUGAUGGUGUAAACCAUGUUCACGGUUGAACGUGUAGGCAUAAAUGCCUGACUGUGUGCAUGUGGGCAAAGGGCCCCUUAUGUAGUGGGGAACCUUGAACAAACAAGCCCCCUGAAGGAGGGCUGGACGUAGACCCCCAGGCUGACACCGUGAGCCCCAGGUCUCCUGAAUGGUCAGUCUACAUGCAUGUAUAAGAUAAACUCAUCACAGGGCCUCUAUUUUCUUUUUAUUUCUUUUUUUUUUUUUUUUUUUGUCAGAGAGGUGUGGGUUAAUGCCUGUUGGGUCAUGGUGAGGGUGAGAAACCAGAUGGAGAAACUUUAAGACACACGUCCACACGUUCUGAUUUGCUCCGUUCAAACGUGUUUCACAGGCGUGGUGGUAGGUGCAGGGAAAACGGAGUCAGCUUGAAUUGUCAAGGUCGAGGGGCAACAGCGAAGCCUGGAGCAUCUCCCAUAGUCCUCAGAUUUCCUGUCUUGUUUCAAAGCAUUUUUUUUUCAUGUGGUGAAAUAUGCGUAACGUAAACUUUACCAUCUUAACCGUU